rnacentral:snRNA from 1 species
UGCUCGCUUAGGCAGCACAUAUACUAAAAUUGGAACGA